rnacentral:tRNA from 1 species
AAAGAUUUAAGUUAAAAAAACUAAUAGCCUCCAAAGCUUUAAAUGAUAAUUAAUCAAUCUUUAGGAUAA